ensembl:lncRNA
GAGAGGUAAGUCAUUUGCAAGCCAGAUUAUAUUUGGAAUAAUCUCAGGGAGGAAGUGCAUAUUGUCAUGAUCACCAUUAGAUGUGGCAAGUGACCUGCUCUCCUCACAUAUAUCUGUUACCCACUGCUGCAGGUCUGUCUGUGUUUGGUCACAUGGAUCCACUUCUUCCUGGUCCGCACCCUCUACAUCUGGAAUGAUGACACACUCUUCUGCAAUUCUGGCUUUUAGGUAUUUCUUGCACCUUUCUGAAAUGAGGGGGGCUCCAGAGCUGUCACUGCCCUCUGUUUCGCUAAGAGCCACAAUAGUAAUGCAUCUUAGUAGCUCUCUUGCAUCGUCCAUGGAUUGUGACAUGAGAAGCUGAGCUAUUGACCUAACAAAGAAAUCUUUAAUGCGAUGUGUUUUUUUUUUUUCAAGCAGUCCCACCGGCAGAUCAUCUUGAUGCAGUGAGCAACAUCAACCCGCACGAAACAAGCAUUUGCACCACUGGGACACUUGAGCUCUCACCCCCUGCCACAACACCCUGAUAAAGGAAUAUAUGGCCAGACUUGCCAUUUGGUCUCUGUAGUUUCCUCACCACUGAGCCAGUUGCAUCAAAACUCACAGUGGGGGUGGCCAAAUUAGGCAGAUGACUUGGCUCAGGAUCUCCAAAAUCCAUCAGCUUUAUUGCCUCUGAUGCCCUCCAUACAUGGGGUUCCUUUCUACCUUCACACAGUUCUUUGGAUAUCUGCACACGCAAGUUACCAGACAUCGGACGUUUGGAACAGCCAGUAUGCAGGGAGUCAUCAGUGUUUUUAAGCGAACACCUGCACAUCAUUGUGCAGUUUAUUUCAGGCUUUUUGUCACAUUUAUGUGAACUUGGCCACGACACUCCUUACAGUUGCCUAUGAUUAGAAUAUAUUUGUCUGUGACCGAUGGAUAGACCUUGGCUCUGUUAAAAGUAAAUGUGCAGGGGCAUUUCACUUCUUGCCAAAUGUGAUGAUUUAUCACAUGCGUCCAGAUACCAGGCUUCAAAAUUGUGUAUUCCUUUUUUUUGUUUUAGAGAACUUGUUUUUGUAUGUCACUGUUUCAGGCAUAAAUUCAAUCCAUUUCUGAAAUGGAACUUCAACAUCAAAAGUGUAGCAAUCUUUUGGACUGGAGGAAAGGGUCCAGAUGCUCUGAUUAGGAGUAGCUAUGUUGCCAUUUUGGAUUAUGGCCUCUUUUGAUGAACACAGGACUGUGAAAAUGGAAUCCCUGUUGACUGCUGGUUUCUUGGGCAUCUGGCAUAAGAAAAACAUAAUUACCCUCAAUUAUUCUGAUUCCAAAAAAUAUCAUGAACAGCAUAAAUUUGUUUUAAUAUAUUAUUGUAUUGGGCUGAAUAUAAUGAUCAUAUAAUAUAAUAAGGAUAAUGUAGAUGGAUAAUAUAUCUUAUAUUAGGACCAAUAUGGUAAUGUUCACCCAUAGAUUGUCAUUUUUUAUUGAACUGAAAAUUCAUUGCUAACACUAUCACUAAUUUAGCUAUGAAAUGUUAAAUACAGUUGCACCCAUGGUCGUUUUUUAAUACUAAAAUGAAACUUUGUGCAACUGUAAAUAGCAUUUCAUAGCUAAAUUAGUAAAUAAGUGUUAUUAUUGAGGUUUCUGUUCAAUAACAAGGUUAGCUCUCUUGAAUGUUGUACAAUAUUCUUGCAGCUACUAGUAUUGUAACAGACAGUUUUAAAACAAUGUAUACUUACAUUGUUCAGAAAUUUGGAUUAGUAACGACUUUUGUAGUUUGAUUUAUAUCGACCUUUUCUCCACUAACUCUACACAAUUUUUUACAAGAGCAUUCUUGAAUGGAAGUGUCACUUGCCCCUAGUGGUGGGAGUGGAGUGUAGCAGAUGAGACUCGUAAGAAUUAAAUAAAAUUUAGCUGUUUUCUUGCCCAAAAAUGCUGAAGUUACAUUUAAACUACGACUUGAUGGCACACGCGCACAAAUCCAUUUUGCUCAUAGAGUAGCAGAAGAUAAGAGUGACAUAGGCCUAAUAAAAGAAAAACAUUACGUUUUUAUUAAACAUUACAGGACUACAAAAAACCUGAUAAGAAAUUGCAUGAUGUUCUAUUAAAUCAUCUUUAUUAGCAUCUAACAUUUUAGAGAUUGAAUAGACAAAACCGAAAUAAAAUGCUCAUAGGCUAUAGGCUACUGACUAACUGCAAACCAAAAUACAGAGCUGUCUGACUAUUUUUGAUCUUGUGACCAUUGAUUUAUCUAUUUUAUUCAGUGAGCCUUGUUUGUAGCCUAUAGGCCUAAAUAUUAAUUUGAUUACAUUUCUGAUAUUUUAAAACCCAACGCGGCACAAACGAAACUUUUACCGUCACAAACCAGCACAAACGAACGAGAUUAUUUUGGGUGAAUUUGGAGAAUGUGGGGGGGCUGGUGACGUAAUCGUCUAUAAUUCAAUGUCGAAUAUUUUAAAACCCAAAGCAGCACAAACGAAACUUUUACCGGCACAAACCAGCACAAACGUAGCACAAACGAUCGAGACUAUUUUGGGUGAAUUUGGAGAAUGUGGGGGGGCUGGUUGACCUCAGAUUGACCUAAAAAUAUGUUAUGUUAAUAUCUAAAAAACGGAAGCAGCACAAACGAAACUUUUUACAGCACAAACCAGCACAAACGGAGCACAAACGAACGAGCAUAGUUUGACAACGUUUUGCGUUGGUGGGGGGGCCAACUUUAUGCAGGUUAACAAGUGUUGUUUUGCUUCCUGCCACUAGAUGCUGUAACCACACAAGUUCUGUUUCUACUGAUGAAAACACAGCACUGUCUCUCACCUUCACAAUUUCAUUGAAUGUAUAUUCUCCUCAGGCACUCUAUCUGCUGGCCUAGUGAUGUACUUCCUUUCUGUUAGUAAGUAAGCGCAGUUGGCAGUUCAACUAACUAAUAAAUGCAGC